rnacentral:rRNA from 1 species
UACGUAGGGUGCGAGCGUUGUCCGGAAUUCCUGGGCGUAAAGAGCUCGUAGGUGGUUUGUCGCGUUGUUCGUGAAAACUCACAACUCAAUUGUGGGCGUGCGGGCGAUACGGGCAGACUGGAGUACUGCAGGGGAGACUGGAAUUCCUGGUGUAGCGGUGGAAUGCGCAGAUAUCAGGAGGAACACCGGUGGCGAAGGCGGGUCUCUGGGCAGUAACUGACGCUGAGGAGCGAAAGCGUGGGGAGCGAACAGG